rnacentral:sRNA from 12 species
AAGCGUUAAUCCAAAGUUCUGUGACCAGAAAGGCAGUUCUUUGGGGAGCUUUAUAAAGGUUCUGCGUUUACCAAGAGCUGGUCUUAAGUCAUCUUGAAUGACCGAAAGAAAAUGCUGAAA